CAGUAGCCGCGGGAAAACGAAGGGGGCUAGCGUUGCUCGGAAUGACUGGGCGUAAAGGGCGCGUAGGCGGAUUGUUUAGUUAGGCGUGAAAUUCCUGGGCUUAACCUGGGGACUGCGCUUAAUACAGGCAGUCUAGAGUGAGGAAGAGGGUUGUGGAAUUCCCAGUGUAGAGGUGAAAUUCGUAGAUAUUGGGAAGAACACCGGUGGCGAAGGCGGCAACCUGGUCCUUGACUGACGCUGAGGCGCGAAAGCGUGGGGAGCAAACAGGAUUAGAUACCCCUGUAGUCCCUGUCUCUUAUAC
rnacentral:rRNA from 1 species